AUUGAACGCUGGCGGCAUGCCUUACACAUGCAAGUCGAACGGUAACAGGUCUUCCGAUGCUGACCAGUGGCGAACAGGUGAGUAAUACGUCUAAACGUGCCCAUACGUGGGGGAUAACAAGGCCAAAGCUUUGCUAAUACCCCAUACAAUCUAAAGAUGAAAGCACGGGACCUCAAGGCCUUGCGCGUUUGGAGCGGACGAUGGCACAUUAUGUACUUGGUGGGAUAAAAACUUACCAAGCCGACGAUCAUGUGCUGGUCUGAGAGGACGACCAGCCACCCUGGGACUGAGACACCGCCCACACUCCUACUGGAGGCAGCAGUGGGGAAUUUUGGACAAUGGGCGAAAGCCUGAUCCACCAAUGCCGCGUGCAGGAUGAAGGCCUUCUGGUUGUAAACUGCUUUUGUACGGAACGAAGAGGCUCUGGUUAAUACCUGUGGCACAUGACGGAACCGUAACAAUAAGCACCGGCUAACUACGUGUCAGCAGCCGCGGUAAUACAUACGGAGCGAGCGAUAAUCGGAAUUACUGGCCGUAAAUCGUGCGCACGCAGUUUUGUAAUACAGACGUAAAAUCCCCGGGCUCAACCUGGGAACUGCCUUUGUGACUGCAAAGCUGGAGUGCGGCAGAGGGGGAUGGAAUUCCGCGUGUAGCAGUGAAAUGCGUAGAUAUGCGGAGGAACACCGAUGGCGAAGGCAAUCCCCUGGGCCUGCACUGACGCUCAUGCACGAAAGCGUGGGGAGCAAACAGGAUUAGAUACCCUGGUAGUCCACGCCCUAAACGAUGUCAACUGGUUGUUGGGUCUUAACUGACUCAGCAACGAAGCUAACGCGUGAAGUUGACCGCCUGGGGAGUACGGCCGCAAGGUUGAAACUCAAAGGAAGUGGCGGGGCCCCGCACAAGCGGCGGAUGAUGUGGUUUAAUUCGAUGCGCACGCGAAAAACCUUACCACCUUUGACAUAUACGGAAUCCUUGAGAGAUAGAGGCGUGCUCGAAAGAGAGCCCUAACACAGCUGGUGCAUGGCUGUCGUCAGCUCGGGUCGUGAGAUGUUGGGUUAAGUCCCGCAACGAGCGCAACCCUUGCCAUUAGUUGCUACGAAAGGGCACUCUAAUGGGACUGCCGGUGACAAACCGGAGGAAGGUGGGGAUGACGUCAAGUCCUCAUGGCCCUUAUAGGCGGGGCUACACACGUCAUACAAUGGUUGGUACAGAGGGUUGCCACCCCGCGAGGGGGAGCCAAUCCCAUAAAGCCAGUCGUAGUCCGGAUCGCAGUCUGCAACUCGACUGCGUGAAGUCGGAAUCGCUAGUAAUCGCGGAUCAGAAUGUCGCGGUGAAUACGUUCCCGGGUCU
rnacentral:rRNA from 1 species